AUUCCAGCUCCAAUAGCGUAUAUUAAAGUUGUUGCAGUUAAAAAGCUCGUAGUUGGAUCUCAGGGUGAGCUCAGUUGGUCGGCCUAAUUGGUCAGAACUGGCUGACUCUCCCUUGUUUCUGAAUCCCGGUCGGAGUUAAUUCUUCGUUCGUGGACUUCAGAUCGUUUACCUUGAAAAAAUUAGAGUGUUCAAAGCGGGCGUUUGCUUGAAUACAUUAGCAUGGAAUAAUGGAAUAGGACCCUGGUUCUAUUUUGUUGGUUUUGAGGACCAGAGUAAUGAUUAAUAGGGAUAGUUGGGGGCAUUCAUAUUUAAUUGUCAGAGGUGAAAUUCUUGGAUUUAUGAAAGAUGAACUUCUGCGAAAGCAUUUGCCAAGGAUGUUUUCAUUA
rnacentral:rRNA from 1 species